GAACUGAAAGGAGUUCACCAUGUAAAUUGCCUGUUCGGACAUGUAGCCCAGCCAGCGUUAGAAAGAGAAAUCGAUCUGGCGGAGCCUGGUGAGGGCGAACUCGCGAGCCGCAACGCAA
rfam:Solibacter usitatus Ellin6076, complete genome.